GAUGAACGCUGGCGGCGUGCCUAAUACAUGCAAGUCGAGCGAACGGACGAGAAGCUUGCUUCUCUGAUGUUAGCGGCGGACGGGUGAGUAACACGUGGAUAACCUACCUAUAAGACUGGGAUAACUUCGGGAAACCGGAGCUAAUACCGGAUAAUAUUUUGAACCGCAUGGUUCAAAAGUGAAAGACGGUCUUGCUGUCACUUAUAGAUGGAUCCGCGCUGCAUUAGCUAGUUGGUAAGGUAACGGCUUACCAAGGCAACGAUGCAUAGCCGACCUGAGAGGGUGAUCGGCCACACUGGAACUGAGACACGGUCCAGACUCCUACGGGAGGCAGCAGUAGGGAAUCUUCCGCAAUGGGCGAAAGCCUGACGGAGCAACGCCGCGUGAGUGAUGAAGGUCUUCGGAUCGUAAAACUCUGUUAUUAGGGAAGAACAUAUGUGUAAGUAACUGUGCACAUCUUGACGGUACCUAAUCAGAAAGCCACGGCUAACUACGUGCCAGCAGCCGCGGUAAUACGUAGGUGGCAAGCGUUAUCCGGAAUUAUUGGGCGUAAAGCGCGCGUAGGCGGUUUUUUAAGUCUGAUGUGAAAGCCCACGGCUCAACCGUGGAGGGUCAUUGGAAACUGGAAAACUUGAGUGCAGAAGAGGAAAGUGGAAUUCCAUGUGUAGCGGUGAAAUGCGCAGAGAUAUGGAGGAACACCAGUGGCGAAGGCGACUUUCUGGUCUGUAACUGACGCUGAUGUGCGAAAGCGUGGGGAUCAAACAGGAUUAGAUACCCUGGUAGUCCACGCCGUAAACGAUGAGUGCUAAGUGUUAGGGGGUUUCCGCCCCUUAGUGCUGCAGCUAACGCAUUAAGCACUCCGCCUGGGGAGUACGACCGCAAGGUUGAAACUCAAAGGAAUUGACGGGGACCCGCACAAGCGGUGGAGCAUGUGGUUUAAUUCGAAGCAACGCGAAGAACCUUACCAAAUCUUGACAUCCUUUGACAACUCUAGAGAUAGAGCUUUCCCCUUCGGGGGACAAAGUGACAGGUGGUGCAUGGUUGUCGUCAGCUCGUGUCGUGAGAUGUUGGGUUAAGUCCCGCAACGAGCGCAACCCUUAAGCUUAGUUGCCAUCAUUAAGUUGGGCACUCUAAGUUGACUGCCGGUGACAAACCGGAGGAAGGUGGGGAUGACGUCAAAUCAUCAUGCCCCUUAUGAUUUGGGCUACACACGUGCUACAAUGGACAAUACAAAGGGCAGCGAAACCGCGAGGUCAAGCAAAUCCCAUAAAGUUGUUCUCAGUUCGGAUUGUAGUCUGCAACUCGACUACAUGAAGCUGGAAUCGCUAGUAAUCGUAGAUCGGCAUGCUACGGUGAAUACGUUCCCGGGUCU
rnacentral:rRNA from 1 species